GCCUCGUUGGCGCAGUAGGUAGCGCAUCAGUAUAAAUCUGAAGGUCGUGAGUUCGAGUCUCACAUGGGGCA